rnacentral:snRNA from 1 species
UCAACUUUAUAUCGAGUUUAAUAUCGGAUAUGUGGGCCAUGUUCGCAUGGCCUACUUCUAUAUCCAAAUAUUUUUGAUGGGGGAGGGCCCUAGUGGUUCUGUCACUAGGGCCCUUGCGCGUUGCCGAGGCGUUGCACUGCUGCCCGGGCCGGCGCACCCCAA